GAUGGCAAGUGAUGAAAAAAACUCCUUAUGCUUAACACUGAACUAAAUGUGGACUAAAAACUUCGCUUAUUAUCUGAUGCCAUC